ensembl:lncRNA
GGAAUACUAAAAGUAACAACUGUGAAGUUUUUGCUUUUGAAGAGGGUUAACUGAUCGAAUACAUUUAAAAUCAUAGUAAAUAUUUGAUACACGCUGCCUAUUAUUAUCAAUAGACAAAGUCUGCGCAUUUUUUGCUCAUACUUUGCUUUCCUAUAUGCUGAGGCAACUAUUGAGUUGUAUCAGGUAAGUUUUCCCUUAUUUGCUUGCUCAUUUGAUAGUUUCCAUUAAUGUUCCUAAAAGGCAAGAAGAAGCAAUUUAAGAACAGUCAAAAAGCAGAUUAUGUACACAUAUUCAAGGUUUUUUUCUUAAGACAAUCUGUGCUAAGUCAUGAGAUUGAAAAUUGUUUCUAGAAGAGCGGCUCGUUGGGAUUUGCUGUGUGUUCUGAGUCCCUUCCCUGUUCUGGUUGCUCAUGUUUAGACUGUGUACUGAUACAGAUUUUGUAGUGGUGAGUAGGAAUUUAUACCUAGAGAAAGAAUACACUUCUCCCCUAGGAGUUGUCUUCCUGAGUUUCCCAGGAAAUGUGUGUCUGAACAUCAUCUAUUGAUGUAUUUACUCAUGGGAAUUUAGAGGCAAAUAAGGAGGGAGGGGUGCAUGCCUUAAGCCAUGACUACCAGCUUUGCAGAGAAGGCAGGCACGCUUCCUGCAGCUCUCUGGACAUGCCUCUUCGUAUGUCUGGCUCCCUGGGUUGUGGGUGUCAGGAGGUGAGUAAGAGUUUGCCAGGAAGAAAAGGUGGGGCAGUACUUCUGGGAAUUUCUCCCCUAGAGGCGUCUGCACCUGUGUGGAAGGAUAUGUGAACGUGGUUAUUCACUGCAGCAUCGUUGGGAAUAGCGGAAGUCUGGAAUCCACGUCUAUAGAUGGCUGGGUGAUCCACAAACAUCCCCAAGGUAGAAUACGAUACUGCUGUAAAAAUGAGGGGGGUAGUCAUCCAUCAGCGCUCUGAUAGAGCAAGCUUUCCAGAAUAUACUGUUAAGCAAAGAAAGACAGCAAGGAACAGUGAGCAUGCAUAGUGGUGUACAUCUUGUGUAAGGAAGGUGGGGGGAUGGCAUAUUCGUCCAUAUUUCCUUGUGUUUGCAGAUAGACUGGCAACAUAAGUGAAGAACUGAUAGAAAUGAACCCCUCCAGUAGGAGGUGGGGGGCAGGAAGGCAGAGGACUAGGCGAGAAUGAGACCCAGUCUUCCCAAACAUUCUUCAUUGUUUUAUUUUUCAAACCAUGUAGAUGUAUUAUAUCCUCCAGGAGCUAAAAAGAAAUGUGAUAAGAAAAGGGAAUGACAUCCUGGGCUGAGAGAAGUGUGUGCAGGGGCCCGGCGUGGGGAGCAGGAACAGCCGGAGAACAGAGCCCCCGUAACCUCCUUCUGGAGCCCCUCUGGCCAUUCCAGCGCUGCCGGUUUAUCAUGACUUUGAGUUUUGACUCCCUUGUCAACUGAGAUGGAUUGCAAUUCCCGGGGAGAGAAAGUAUAAGCUGAAUAACUGGAAAUCCUUGCCUGCCUUCCUGUGGCCACGGAGAGGUGUUAGAACACGAAAGUGAUGACUGCUCAGGUGCUUGUAACUUCUGUAACAGCCCAGGUGGGCAGCUGAGUGGUUUCUGGUUUACAGAUGGGACAGGCCUGGACACCAGGCCUGGACAAGGUCCCGCUAACUGUUGGGGAGCGGAGUUGAACCCAUCCCUCUCCAGCGCUGAAGUCCCCCACUCUCAUGCAGCCUUGACGACAGUGGAUGAAGGGGCCAUGGGUACUGAGUGUGGGGAGGGCUUCCGGUUCGGGUCAAACAUCUAAAGCAACGUCCCCUGCCUCUCACCUGUACCAGCGUCACCUGCUGGGCCCCACCCCAGCCUUUCCAUUCAGACCAGGGGCAGAGCCUGAGGGUGCGUCUAACAAGUUCCCGGGUGGUACUAAUACUAUUGGCCUGGCAACCAUGCUUGGAGAACCAGUGGUUUAAAGGCAUCAACUUUACCGACUUUGCUGGUGGUUUAGUGGUUAAGAAUCUGCCUGCCAGUGCAGAGGACAUGCGUUUGAUCCCUGGUCCGGGAAGAUUCCACAUGCUGUGGAGCAACUAAGCCCAUGGGCUGCAACUACUGAGCCUUCACACUGCAGCUACUGAAGCGCGUUUGCCUAAAGCCCGUGCUCCACAACGAGAGAAGCCCCCGCAACUAGCCGGCAUCCCCCGCUCGCCGCACCUAGAGAGAGCCUGCAAGAGCAAUGAAGACCAGUACAGCCAAGAUAAGUGAAUACAAAUGAAAGACAAAACGUUUUUUUAAAAAGCAUCAACUUUAGACUUAGGUGCCUGGUCCAAACUCAGCCCCAGGUGGCUGGAAGUGCUUUCCAGACUCUGACUCAAAUGCUGAGUGGUGUAAUCGGAAGUACUGAAAGGGUCCAGCCUGCCUCACUUCACAGAGACUGGAUGUUUCUUUAUAAAGUAGAAAAAUAUAAACAUGAUAAGCAGUUGAGGCAGUCAAAUGAAGGGAAAAAAUAGAGUUUAGUAAAAACAGCUGACAUCCAAUAAGGGUAAUUUCCCCUCUUCGUUGCCAGAGUGACAUGCGUGUCCCUUUCGUUUCCUGAUUGUCCACAUCCUGUUUUCAUUUUGGGAAAAGGACCCUUGAAUUUUGUCUCUUGAAUCCAAUUCUCCUUUCUCCAAACUGUCUUCCAGAGAAUGUCUUCAUACCUAGACAAUUUGGAAGGUGUGAACAGAUUGAUCUUUAUGCGUCGUUCGGCAGGUGUGGUUCUAGUUCCCUGACCAAGGGCAGAACCCAUGGCCCCUAAACAGUGAGAGCGCAGAGUCUUAACCACUGGACUGCUAGGGAAGUCCCUAUCUUUUUUUUACAACCUGUGAACUUUGGUAAAAUGGCAGUUGAGUAAUAUAUUAAUUGUGGCAAGGCACAAUGUAUUAAUUGUGCAAACAUAUUUGCCGAGUAUCUCUUGCUUGUGAUAGAAAACAAAUCUUAAGAACCAUUCGAAGGAGGUCACAAGAAUUAGAAUUCCUGACUUCAAGGCACUUACAGCCUGGUUUGGAGAAAAAGAUGUACGUGUAAGCAACAGGACAAUAAUCAUAUCCUUUAGUAGUUUUCAAUGACUCUCGAUGUAGCAAUUCACAGAAAGGAAAGUACAGAGUAUGUUGAUAUAGGCACACACAAAAAAAGACAUUUAAUUUGAUAAAAAGGAGGAAAAAUUGAGAAAAUUUAAAAGAAUUUUAGGUAUUAAAGUUAGUAUAACUUUGCAGAAACAACACUUCCAACAGCUUUAUGUGACACACACAUGGCUGUGGGUGGUGAAGAAGAUAACUGAGUCUGUCAUCAGGAGGCUUGUCGUGGGGACUUCCUGGGUGGUCGAGUGGUUAGGAGUCUGUGGUCCCAGUGCUGGGGACACGGGUUCGGUCCCCGGUUGGGAAGGAUCCCACAUGCUGCACAGUAUGGCCAAACGGAAAAAGCAAGCUUGCUGGGGACUUGCCACUUAGGACUCUGUGAUCCGAACCAGUCAUUUGAGCUUCUUAGGUGCUGAUUUCUGCAAACAGCAGGGGGAUUUCCAGUAUCUAUCUCUAUCAGCUGAACUUCAGUCAGAAAGCGGCAGCCUGUAUUUGAAGCAAAAGGGCAUUUAAUCUGGGAACAAGUUGCUUUAAAGGCCAGAGAAAAGAUGAGGAGAAUCAAAGCUGGGGGCCCUUGCACCAAAGCCCCUGUAUGAACUGCCCCUGCUGGGGAAGCCCUCCACCGUCCAAAUCUUGCUCAGGGGCGUGAUGUCGGCCACAAGUAGACAGCAGUCACCUUGGCCAGGAACUUCAGGGAGAGCAGCUUCUAGGCUUCUAGCCCUGAGAAUUCAGGAAACAGGGUCGAAAAAGGCGUGGAGAGGAGUGCAGGCCUGCAGAAGGCAGUCAGCUCUGACUGGAAGCAGCCGUCAGUGGGCUGUGAAACUAGUUUAGAAGACUGUGGAUGCGUAGCUGCAGUGUGUGUGUGUGUGUGUGUGUGUGUGCGUGCACAUGUGUGUGAUUUGCGUACGUGUGUGUAUGCGUGUAUGUAUGCAUGGGUGUGUGUGUGGGUGUGUGUGAUAUAUAUGCUGGGUCAUGAUGUAUAAAGGUCCAAAAGUUUUAGAAACCACAGAGUAAAGAAUAAGAUGGAAUGACUUAUGUGCUCUGUAACUUCUGAAGUGCAAAGCAAACACUGCAUUAAUAGCCCAUUUGCCUGAGCCCCACGUCCGUUUUUACUCAGCCUCGGCACUCCACUGCUGGGAUGUUAAGGCCCCAGCUGUCUGCCCAGGCAGGUACCUUUGGAUUCUCCCCUCCGCACGGAAGCUCACACUCAAAAGCCCUGGAGAUAGAAAACAGAGAUUCGUGUGUUAAAACAAGAAAAGUAGGAAAAUGGCCUUUAGUGUUUGACUUUUUCAAGGCUCAACCUGGUUUUUUGAUUGAAUAUGUGCUUCACCAGUCAUCACGGCUGCUGGUACUUAGCUGGGGAGAAAAGAAGCUGAGUGAUCCGUGAAACAGUUUUUAAUAGAUGCACGGAGCACCACCCCCCCACCCCCCGCC